GUGGAAUGCUGAGAAAGGGAAAAGCACCUCUAAAUAAGGAAGAGGAACAGGCUAUGACCUAAUGCCCUCUUGGACCAGUAUAAGCAUGCCAGGGCAAAUAUUUAGGCUAAACUGUGGGAGCUAAGAACAUAAAGUCUUGACUCCAUUUUUCACUAAAACGAAUCAAAACUCCUUGGAGAGAUGACCGAUUGCUGGGAAAAGACAGGGAAUGUACAAGAUGGACCUGGAACGUCUUUUGUGCCACAAAGCAAGAAGGUGCUCAAAGAGUAGUGAGAGUACAUCAAGUCAGCUUGAACAAGCUUCCACUGGCCAAAUUGGGGACAAUUUGAACAUCAAAAUAAACAAUGACAAAAGUAUAGUAUAGGCUAUUG
rnacentral:lncRNA from 1 species